GUUCAUAAGCACAUACACUAAAAUUGGAGCAAGAGAGAAUAUUAGCAUUGGCAUGGCCCCUGCGCAAGGAUGGCAUGUAAAUUCAUAAGUGCUCCAUAUUUUU
rnacentral:snRNA from 1 species